rnacentral:rRNA from 1 species
CCAACCCUUGAAAGCUGCAACACCUUCAGGAGUGUUAAUCCAACAUGGAGUCGCAAACCCUUCUUCAAUAUGAACUCUCCAGAAGAAAUGACGCUGUUAUCCCCGUGGUAACUCUCUCCCUUAAUCGUUUUUAUACAUUAAACGGAUCCUUUUAUUAAACCUCUGCACAUCAGCCUUAAUUUAUUUUCUAACUAUAUUCACACCUUUUAAGUGUUACUUAAUUUACUAUAAAAAAGAGGAAGCUUCAUUUGUUCCUCCGUUUUCCCCCACUAAAAACACCUUAAAAAUUAGUUCAAUACACUUUAUUGUUUUCCCUAUUCUCAAGAUUAGUUAAAGCUCAACGGGGUCUUCUCGUCCCAUAACUAAAUUUAGGCUUUUUCACCUAAAAAUUAAUUUCUAUAUAAUUCUCAGGAGACAGCUUAGUCCACGUCAAACCUUUCAUACUAGCCCUCAAUUAUAAGGCAAAUGAUUAUGCUACCUUUGCACAGUCAGGGUACUGCGGGCGUU